AGCUCAGUUGGUAGAGCACCUGACUGUUAAUCAGGCUGUCGACGGUUCGAGUCCGCCUGCCG
rnacentral:tRNA from 1 species